rnacentral:rRNA from 1 species
AGAGUUUGAUCCUGGCUCAGAAUCAACGCUGGCGGCGUGCCUCAGACAUGCAAGUCGAACGAUUAAGACUUCCUUCGGGGAGUGCAUAAAGUGGCGCACGGGUGAGUAACACGUAAGUAAUCUACCCUCGAGUGGGGAAUAACGUUCGGAAACGAACGCUAAUACCGCAUAACGCAGCGGCACCGCAAGGUGACAGUUGUUAAAGGAGUAAUUCGCUUGAGGAGGAGCUUGCGGCAGAUUAGCUAGUUGGUAAGGUAACGGCUUACCAAGGCUACGAUCUGUAUCCGGUCUAAGAGGACGGUCGGACACACUGACACUGAAUAACGGGUCAGACUCCUACGGGAGGCAGCAGUCGGGAAUUUUGGGCAAUGGGCGAAAGCCUGACCCAGCAACGCCGCGUGAAGGAUGAAGUAUUUCGGUAUGUAAACUUCGAAAGAAUGGGAAGAAUAAAUGACGGUACCAUUUAUAAGCUCCGGCUAACUACGUGCCAGCAGCCGCGGUAAUGCGUGGGGAGCAAGCGUUGUUCGGAUUUACUGGGCGUAAAGGGCGCGUAGGCGGCGUGUUAAGUCAGCUGUGAAAUCUCCAAGCUUAACUUGGAACGGCCAGCUGAUACUGAUGUGCUAGAGUGCAGAAGGGGCAAUCGGAAUUCUUGGUGUAGCGGUGAAAUGCGUAGAUAUCAAGAGGAACACCUGAGGUGAAGACGGGUUGCUGGGCUGACACUGACGCUGAGGCGCGAAAGCCAGGGGAGCAAACGGGAUUAGAUACCCUGGUAGUCC